rnacentral:rRNA from 1 species
CACGUAGGGUGCGAGCGUUGUCCGGAAUUAUUGGGCGUAAAGAGCUCGUAGGCGGUGUGUCGCGUCGGCCGUGAAAACCUGCAGCUUAACUGUGGGCUUGCGGUCGAUACGGGCAUCACUGGAGUUCGGCAGGGGAGACUGGAAUUCCCGUGGUGUAGCGGUGAAAUGCGCAGAUAUCAGGAGGAACACCGGUGGCGAAGGCGGGUCUCUGGGCCGAUACUGACGCUGAGGAGCGAAAGCGUGGGGAGCGAACAGG